GAUGAAGAACGUAGCGAAAUGCGAUAAGUAAUGUGAAUUGCAGAAUUCAGUGAAUCAUCGAAUCUUUGAACGCACAUUGCGCCCGGUAGUAUUCUGCCGGGCAUGCCUGUUCGAGCGUCAUUUCAACCAUCAAGCCCCAGCGCUUGUGUUGGGGGCCUGCGGCUGCCGCAGCCCCCUAAAAGCAGUGGCGGGCUCGCUAUCACACCGAGUGCAGUAGUUCAUCUUCUCUCCGGUCUUGUGAGGCGGGUUCCGGCCGUGAAACACCCCACUACAUUCAAGGUUGACCUCGGAUCAGGUAGGAAUACCCGCUGAACUUAAGCAUAUCAAUAAGCGGGAGGA
rnacentral:misc_RNA from 1 species